rnacentral:rRNA from 1 species
GACGAACGCUGGCGGCGUGCUUAACACAUGCAAGUCGAACGGAAAGGCCCUUUCGGGGGUACUCGAGUGGCGAACGGGUGAGUAACACGUGGGUGAUCUGCCCUGCACUUUGGGAUAAGCCUGGGAAACUGGGUCUAAUACCGAAUAUACCUUGCUGGCUGCAUGGCCUGGUGGGGGAAAGCUUUUGCGGUGUGGGAUGGGCCCGCGGCCUAUCAGCUUGUUGGUGGGGUGAUGGCCUACCAAGGCGA